GUCUAUGGCCAUACCACCCUGAACGUUCCUGAUAUCGUCUGAUCUCAGAAGCUAAGCAGGGUUGGGCCUGGUUAGUACUUGGAUGGGAGACAUUACAAGUAAAUACGAUAGUAGAAAGCCCAGUGUCCUAUUCU
rnacentral:rRNA from 1 species